AGAGACUCAAUCUCCUAGUUUGUAUGAACUGGGAAAUACUGUGCCCCUAAAGUCCUCUAUCAACCUGCCUCAUGUGGCUUAAAAUGGGACCUGCUUGCAGUGAUGCGUGUUCUUCGAAAACAAAAGUGGGAAGGCUGAGCUGCACGCACAGACAGACUUUGUUGCUGAUUGGAGUGCCCUUCAGAAGGUACCUGGGGCCCCAGGUGAGGCUAGUGCCUUAACGCACAGCAUUGGGCUCUCAGUUCUGUCAUUUGCAAAACCGACAUAAUGAUUUCUUCCUGACCUCCUCGGGACUGCUGUGUCAGGGAGCCCAGGCACCUGGAAGUCGUGUAGUAAUGGAAACAUCGCCCAACAAGGGAGUCAGUACCAUGAUCAUUAACGUCGUCGUUGCUAUUCAUUGUUAUUCAUAACGAUGCUUGCGAUGAAGCGUCUCCAAAGGACCGCUGCGCGAACUGGCUUUGCAAAGUUUUACAGAAAUGCAUCAGAUGAAGAACCCAACCCCCCUGGACAUCCGCCCACCCCUCCCCCAAUCGAAGCUUGCUUCUGCAGAUCUUCGGGCUCUCCUUUUAUUUCAGGCCUCCCCACCCCCAAAGCAGGCCUUGCACGUCUUCCGUAGAAAUGGCUCCUGUGGCUCAAGACCUCGGAUGCCAGUUUUCAGCCAGGAGCACAGUUUUGCAGAGAGGGUUAUAAAUCAAAACCUGGGUCCUAAUGAAACAUCUGACAGGACGCUAACUGUAACAGAACGCACCCGGGCGCCACUUUCGGGAAAUGAGAGGCAGGAGCAGGGUUCGAGGGGUCCGAUGGAGCGAGGGGGCCAGCUCAGCCCCCCCUUCUUCCCUUUGUUUCAUCCUGUCUUCCCCGCCCCCUUCCUUUAUCAUCCCUACAGAAUCCCUGAGUGCCGCUGUCCUCUGUAGCUGCCCUCGGAAUCAGCCUAGUGGUUGCUAAGCUGCAGACCCUGGUGGUUUCUAAGCCAAACUCCUGCCUAGCUCUCCACCUAGGAGUCCUGUCAUGAUGAAUGACAUCUGGGGCGGGGGACGGGGCUUGCACAGAGACUGGUGAAGGCAAAAUUCUGGGUUCAGAGAGGACCUUUCAAGUCCUGGCCCGUGUCUGGCCAUGUUGGGCCUGGAUUUGCAAAGUGAGGACAGCAACCAUUGCUCCCACGCAAGGGGGUGUGGAAGAUGUAGCUCACCAAGUAGCCGUGAGAGUCCAAAGGGACCGAGGACCAGGCAACCUGAGCUGCUAAAGGACCUUCCUCUCUGCCCUCCCGAAUGGGCUUUCUAGUCAGUCCGGUUUCACUCAGUGCCGUAGGUACUUCCGGUUUGAUGUCAGUGAGCUCUUUACCACUUCAGUCAUUAACUUGGCCUUAGCAAGUCACCUGUGCUGAAGUGUGCCUCAUCUGACACCGCUACCUGUAUGGAUGGCACUCUCCUUAGCUCACCUCAUGGGAGAGCAAGCACCACCCACCUCUGCACCACCCGAGGCAGAGGUCCUAGUAGGAACUCAGACCCUGAGUGGAUCUCCAGGCCACUGACUGGGGAGUCCUACGUUACCCCAGAGCUCUCCCAGGAGACCCAGCUCAGUCAGACCUGCAGUUUUGCUGUUCUGUCACUCAGCUGCCCCAGAACAGAGAUACCGUUCUUCCCAGCUAGGCAGCAAGUCUCCUGAGGAAGAAGCCACGCCCGAAUUCUCCGAAGGACCUUGCUCCAUCAGCUUCACAGUUCUGUUACCUUUUGUCUUUCUACCAACAAAGGCUUAUUUUUUGUUUGUUUUGAGAUAGUGUCUCACCACGUAGCCCAGGCUGACCUCUAACUUAUGAUCUCCUGCUGUAACCUCCCCAGUAUGGAGACUGCAGGUGAGAGCCACCGUGCUUGUGCGUGGCUAACAAUAAGGGUUCUCUCUGAGAGGCCUAUUAAAUGUUCACAGAAGGCCAGCCGUUGGUCUGUUCUCGGCCCCUUCUGCUCAUACUCCAUUGGCCAGAGCAGGUCACAGGGUCAGCACAGGCUGGGUUUAAAAACCCUUUCAUUUAAGGUGAACUCACCGGGCAAGGGUCUGUCUUGGUUAGCCCAAGGAAGCUCGAGGUGAUCCAAGUCCCUGUCCCCUGUCUCCCUUAUGCAUGUGUGCAGGUCCCCAGCAGGUGGAGGAAGCUGUCUCCAUAUGACCUGAAGUCGCUGCUGACUCUCAGAAGCUCAUCUUGCAGCUCAUAUUCCUGGGAUCUUUUUUUCCCCCACCUGUUCUGACUUUUGUUAGCAGAACAUGAAUUUCUCGCUGUC